rnacentral:misc_RNA from 1 species
AGGGAAAAGGCGUAAAAAAACAAAUUAGAAAUGCAAUUAAUGUGUAUUUGAAAUAACGCAAACACAUGUAGCACCACCAAAUUUGAGAAUAACUGUGAGUAGAAUCAUCUUGACAGGGAAGUCAAAAACACGAGCUGCAUCAAGCAAUUCACUAUAAAUUUUGCAUUUUUAGCAAGGAGGUGCAAGAGCAUGUCCCAUAAAAUAUUGAAUCUAUUCAUUGAAUUAAUAAUUCAAAGCAAUGAACCACUAAAUACCUAAGGUCCAGAUGAGUUUGCAUGUUUGCGUCCCCUUCAGACUAACACAUUGAUGAAACGUAAGACAAAUUAUCAACACAAGAUGCUUUGGGCUUCCUACAGAAACAAUAUGGUCAAACAGCUCAAGAUUUCACUAUCACUAUUUCGACCACUAAGAAUGUAGAAAGCGAUAACAGACAAAGCACAAAAAACUAAGCUUUCAAAGGCCAAAGAUCACAACAUUACGUUCCCACUUGGCCACUUCCCAGAAAAACCCAAAAUUUACUACUUUCAGCAAGAAAACAUCACAUGCACUGUCACCAAACGCUAUUUCUGUACCAGCAACAAGCCCAUUCUAUAAGAUACCCAAAAAUCCAAACUAUAAUUCAAGAUAAAGAGCGCAAUGAUCAAAUUAGCAUAAUAACAUUAAGUUAAGAUAUGAGCUAAUUGAGUACAUGAUAUUAACAUGUAAAAAAGGAGAAUUGAUAUUUCAGAGAAGAUAGAGACCGCAGAUUCUAAGGGGGAGAGAAGAAGGGCUUACCAGAGAAAAGAGGUGCAGGGAUUU